rnacentral:tRNA from 1 species
GUAAAAGCUGCUUACGCAAGCCCCGACCUUGUAAGCCGGAGAUUGUAGCAUAAAACCUACUCAAAACU